rnacentral:rRNA from 1 species
GCUCAGAACUUAAAUGAGUGACGGGGCCCGCACAAGCGGAGGAACAUGUGGUUUAAUUCGAUGAUACGCGAGGAACCUUACCCGGGCUUGAAAUGCAUCUGACCGGCCUUGAAAGAGGCACUCCCUUCGGGGCAGAUGUGUAGGUGCUGCAUGGUUGUCGUCAGCUCGUGCCGUGAGGUGUCGGCUUAAGUGCCAUAACGAGCGCAACCCUCAUCAUUAGUUACCAUCAGGUAAGGCUGGGGACUCUAAUGAGACUGCCAUCGUAAGAUGUGAGGAAGGUGGGGAUGACGUCAAAUCAGCACGGCCCUUACGUCCGGGGCGACACACGUGUUACAAUGGGUGGUACAAAGGGCAGCUACCUGGCGACAGGAUGCUAAUCUCGAAAACCGCUCUCAGUUCGGAUCGGAGUCUGCAACUCGACUCCGUGAAGCUGGAUUCGCUAGUAAUCGCGCAUCAGCCACGGCGCGGUGAAUACGUUCCCGGGCCUU